UGGCGACCGGCGCACGGGUGAGUAACGCGUAUCCAACCUGCCCUUUACUAUGGGACAGCCCGUCGAAAGGCGGAUUAAUACCGUAUGUUGUCAUGUUGAUGCAUAUUUUCAUGACCAAAGGCUUCGGCCGGUAAAGGAUGGGGAUGCGUCUGAUUAGCUUGCCGGCGGGGUAACGGCCCACCGGGGCGGCGAUCAGUAGGGGUUCUGAGAGGAAGGUCCCCCACAUUGGAACUGAGACACGGUCCAAACUCCUACGGGAGGCAGCAG
rnacentral:rRNA from 1 species